AUUGAACGCUCGCGGCAGGCUUAACACAUGCAAGUCGAACGAGUGGCGGACGGGUGAGUAAUGCUUGGGAAUCUGGCUUAUGGAGGGGGAUAACGACGGGAAACUGUCGCUAAUACCGCGUACCAUAGGAUGAGCCCAAGGGGGAUUAGGUAGUUGGUGGGGUACUGGCCUACCAAGCCGACGAUCUCUAGCUGGUCUGAGAGGAUGAUCCGCCACACUGGAACUGAGAAACGGUCCAGACUCCUACGGGAGGCAGCAGUGGGGAAUAUUGCACAAUGGGCGCAAGCCUGAUGCAGCCAUGCCGCGUGUAUGAAGAAGGCCUUCGGGUUGUAAAGUACUUUUAGCGGGGAGGCGUUACCCGCAGAAGAAGCACCGGCUAACUACGUGCCAGCAGCCGCGGUAAUAC
rnacentral:rRNA from 1 species